AGAGGGAGCCCUAGCCACAGUCCCGACAGAGAGGCAGGUGGGGCCAGGAGGCAGCACAAGCGAUCUGCCCUCUUCUUUUAGGCAGAAAACUGUGUGGAGGAGGAGGAAAGGAAGUAUGAGGGGAGACUUGAGAGAAUGAAAAAAACAAUGUCGUCGUUAUAAAAGAGCAGCGAGGAAGAAGGUGCUGCGGUUCGUUUUUCUCUUCAAACUCCAGUUUUGAUUCCAUCCCGGGUUUUCCGGUCUCCCGAGAAUGAGGGUGGGGUGGGGCGGGGUGGGGUGGAGAACCACCGGGAGCGGGCCGGCCCGGCCGGCGCGGUGGGUGAUCCCGGGAUGCUGGGAUUUAGGGUGAGGGCGGGGUGAGAUGGGGAGCGGAACCCGGACCCCGCGACCCAGUCCGAGCCCGGCAGCCUGGGCUGUACCCUUCCUAACUCCUCCUUUUCCAGCCGAGAUGCGGAUCCCGCAUCCAAGACCUCCCAACUCGACCUUGGCACUAAUGUUGGGGGCGGGGGGCACAGCUGGCUGGCAGCUGGAUGGGGGGACACUUCUCCCGCCUCCUUCCCUCUAUGACUCACCCAGGGGAAGGAGGCAAGUUCGCAAAUGAUCCCCCAAACACUAGAGACUCCCCCAAACUUGCCUACUCAGUCAUCUUACUGCCCAGCCGCCGAAGAGCCUCCAAGGAAAUGGGGCGACAUCCCUCCUCGCCCACGCGUGCCACAGCCCACCCACAUCUCCCCUUCAGACUAGUAAAAGGAAAGUGUUGCCAA